rnacentral:rRNA from 1 species
AACGAACGCUGGCGGCAGGCUUAACACAUGCAAGUCGAACGAGAUCUUCGGAUCUAGUGGCAGACGGGUGAGGAACACGUGGGAACAUCCCUUUCAGUUCGGAAUAACGUUGGGAAACUAACGCUAAUACCGGAUACGUCCUUCGGGAGAAAGAGUUAUUGCUGAAAGAUUGGCCCGCGUCUGAUCAGCUAGUUGGUGAGGUAAUGGCUCACCAAGGCUACGAUCAGUAGCUGCUCUGAGAGGAUGAUCAGCCACAUUGGGACUGAGACACGGCCCAAACUCCUACGGGAGGCAGCAGUGGGGAAUAUUGGACAAUGGGCGCAAGCCUGAUCCAGCCAUGCCGCGUGAGUGAUGACGGCCUUCGGGUUGUAAAGCUCUUUUGUCCGGGAAGAUAAUGACUGUACCGGAAGAAUAAGCCCCGGCAAACUUCGUGCCAGCCGCCGCCGUAA